rnacentral:rRNA from 1 species
UGAGUUUGAUCCUGGCUCAGGACGAACGCUGGCGGCGUGCCUAAUACACUGCAAGUCGAGCGGAUGACAGAGGAGCUUGCUCCUCUAGAUUCAGCGGCGGACGGGUGAGUAACACGUGGGCAACCUGCCCUGUAGAUUGGGAUAACUCCGGGAAACCGGGGCUAAUACCGAAUAAUCCUUCGGACCUCAUGGUCCGAUGUUGAAAGGCGGCUUCGGCUGUCACUACAGGAUGGGCCCGCGGCGCAUUAGCUAGUUGGUGAGGUAACGGCUCACCAAGGCCACGAUGCGUAGCCGACCUGAGAGGGUGAUCGGCCACACUGGGACUGAGACACGGCCCAGACUCCUACGGGAGGCAGCAGUAGGGAAUCUUCCACAAUGGACGAAAGUCUGAUGGAGCAACGCCGCGUGAGUGAAGAAGGUUCUCGGAUCGUAAAACUCUGUUGUGAGGGAAGAACAAGUACCGGAGUAACUGCCGGUACCUUGACGGUACCUCAUUAGAAAGCCACGGCUAACUACGUGCCAGCAGCCGCGGUAAUACGUAGGUGGCAAGCGUUGUCCGGAAUCAUUGGGCGUAAAGCGCGCGCAGGCGGUCCCUUAAGUCUGAUGUGAAAGCCCACGGCUCAACCGUGGAGGGUCAUUGGAAACUGGGGGACUUGAGUGCAGAAGAGGAAAGCGGAAUUCCAAGUGUAGCGGUG